UGUUUUAUCCGCUUCCAGCAGUAGCCAUAUUUAGCGAAAGUACCACUCUCGAGCAGAGGGGUAUUUCGUCUGCGCAUACAUUUAUUUACUGACGAUCAAGAUGUGUACAUGAGACAACAAACCUUGAAGGUUACUCUUAAGAUAUUGUAUGUGGAUACUAUUUUGAGAUAUUCGUUACGAUAAUGGAAGUCACAUAGAACACAAGACUUUAAAAAUUGUUUCAGCUUCAGGAUUGAGUCACUCUUACCACGACCUUUGGCGAAUUCGUUUUUGGGAGGUUGAGAUGGAUUUUCCAAGUCAUGGCUCACAACUGUCUUUGGCCUUUUUUCUCUCCAAGUCUGUUGUACAUGGGAGAUGUGAUGUGACCCCACUAUAUAUAGUUGGUACUAUUGAUAGAAUGGAUAGGUGUGACAUUUACUGAGCCUAGCUGGUAUUCAAGAGAAUGUAAUUACUACCAGACACUUACUACUGAUAUAAAUGAUUGAUCUUUUGUUCUCUUCUUGCAACUUGUCUCAACUAGCUUAUGCUAUAUGUAACUUGUGUCUAAACCUUAUUUGCAACUGUAAAA